GAUGAACGCUAGCUACAGGCUUAACACAUGCAAGUCGAGGGGAAACGACAUCGAAAGCUUGCUUUUGAUGGGCGUCGACCGGCGCACGGGUGAGUAACGCGUAUCCAACCUGCCCACCACUUGGGGAUAACCUUGCGAAAGUAAGACUAAUACCCAAUGAUAUCCCACGAAGGCAUCCGAAUGGGAUUAAAGAUUUAUCGGUGAUGGAUGGGGAUGCGUCUGAUUAGCUUGUUGGCGGGGUAACGGCCCACCAAGGCAUCGAUCGGUAGGGGUUCUGAGAGGAAGGUCCCCCACAUUGGAACUGAGACACGGUCCAAACUCCUACGGGAGGCAGCAGUGAGGAAUAUUGGUCAAUGGGCGAAGCCUGAACCAGCCAAGUAGCGUGCAGGAAGACGGCCCUAUGGGUUGUAAACUGCUUUCAGUCGGGAAUAAAGUGUGGGACGUGUCCCAUAUUGCAGGUACCGCAUGAAUAAGGACCGGCUAAAUUCCGUG
rnacentral:rRNA from 1 species